CCUACGGGCGGCAGCAGUGGGGAAUAUUGGACAAUGGGGGCAACCCUGAUCCAGCCAUGCCGCGUGUGUGAAGAAGGCCCUCGGGUUGUAAAGCACUUUCAGUGAGGAAGAACGCCUGGUGGUUAAUACCCAUCAGGAAAGACAUCACUCACAGAAGAAGCACCGGCUAACUCUGUGCCAGCAGCCGCGGUAAUACGGAGGGUGCGAGCGUUAAUCGGAAUUACUGGGCGUAAAGCGCGCGUAGGUGGCUUGAUAAGCCGGUUGUGAAAGCCCCGGGCUCAACCUGGGAACGGCAUCCGGAACUGUCAAGCUAGAGUGCAGGAGAGGAAGGUAGAAUUCCCGGUGUAGCGGUGAAAUGCGUAGAGAUCGGGAGGAAUACCAGUGGCGAAGGCGGCCUUCUGGACUGACACUGACACUGAGGUGCGAAAGCGUGGGUAGCAAACAGGAUUAGAUACCCUGGUAGUC
rnacentral:rRNA from 1 species